GUCUAUGGCCGUAUCACCCUGAACACGUCCAAUCUCAUCUGAUCUCAGAAGCUAAGCAGGGUUGGGCCUGGUUAGUACCUGGAUGGGAAGAAGCUCAUUCUCUGUUGGAGUCCAGGGAGGUGGACU
rnacentral:rRNA from 1 species